rnacentral:rRNA from 1 species
UACGUAGGGGGCUAGCGUUGUCCGGAAUUACUGGGCGUAAAGGGUUCGCAGGCGGAAAUACAAGUCAGGUGUAAAAGGCGGAGGCUUAACCUCCGUAAGCAUUUGAAACUGUAUUUCUUGAGAUAUGGAGAGGCAAGUGGAAUUCCUAGUGUAGCGGUGAAAUGCGUAGAUAUUAGGAGGAAUACCAGUGGCGAAGGCGACUUGCUGGACAUAUACUGACGCUGAGGAACGAAAGCAUGGGUAGCAAACAGG